rnacentral:rRNA from 1 species
ACKGCUCAGUAACACGUGGUCAAUCUACCCUGAGGACGGGGAUACCUCCGGGAAAACCAGGUUUCUUUUCCUGGUCCCGAAACUGGAGUCAAUACCCGAUAGGUGAAGAACUCUGGAAUGAGUCUCCGCUCAAAAGACGCUUACGCCAUGCUUGUAGGCGUUGCCCAAGGAUGGGGCCGCGACCGAUCAGGUUGUUGGUGAGGUAACGGCUCACCAAGCCUUUAACCGGUACGGGCCGUGAGAGCGGGAGCCCGGAGAUGGGCACUGAGACAAGGGCCCAGGUCCUACGGGGCGCAGCAGUCGCGCAAACUUUGCAAUACACGAAAGUGUGACAGGGCUAUCCCGAGUGCCGCCCGCUGAGGGUGGCUUUUACCCAGUUUAGCAAGCUGGGAGAAUAAGGAGAGGGCAAGUCUGGUGUCAGCCGCCGCGGUAAUACCAGCUCUCCGAGUGGUGUGGAUGUUUAUUGGGCCUAAAGCAUCCGUAGCUUGCUGAGCCAGUCCCCUGUUAAAUCCAACGAAUUAAUCGUUGGUGUGCGGGGGAUACUGCUUGGCUAGGGGACGAGAGAGGCAGACGGUAUUCCCGGGGUAGGGGUGAAAUCCUAUAAUCCCGGGAGGACCACCAGUGGCGAAGGCUGUCGGCUAGAACGCGCCCGACGGUGAGGGAUGAAAGCUGGGGGAGCGAACCGGAUUAGAUACCCGGGUAGUCCCAGCUGUAAACGAUGCAGGCUAGGUGUUAGGGCGGCUACGUGCCGCUCUAGUGCCGCAGGGAAGCUGUUAAGCCUGCCGCCUGGGGAGUACGGCCGCAAGGCUGAAACUUAAAGGAAUUGGCGGGGGAGCAC